UACUCGGCUACGAACCGAGCGGUCAAAGGUUCGAAUCCUUUCGGGUGCGCCA
rnacentral:tRNA from 1 species